rnacentral:rRNA from 1 species
GACGAACGCUGGCGGCGUGCCUAAUACAUGCAAGUAGAACGCUGAAGAGAGGAGCUUGCUCUUCUUGGAUGAGUUGCGAACGGGUGAGUAACGCGUAGGUAACCUGCCUUGUAGCGGGGGAUAACUAUUGGAAACGAUAGCUAAUACCGCAUAACAAUGGAUGACACAUGUCAUUUAUUUGAAAGGGGCAAUUGCUCCACUACAAGAUGGACCUGCGUUGUAUUAGCUAGUAGGUGAGGUAAUGGCUCACCUAGGCGACGAUACAUAGCCGACCUGAGAGGGUGAUCGGCCACACUGGGACUGAGACACGGCCCAGACUCCUACGGGAGGCAGCAGUAGGGAAUCUUCGGCAAUGGGGGCAACCCUGACCGAGCAACGCCACGUGAGUGAAGAAGGUUUUCGGAUCGUAAAGCUCUGUUGUAAGUCAAGAACGGGUGUGAGAGUGGAAAGUUCACACUGUGACGGUAGCUUACCAGAAAGAGACGGCUAACUACGUG